GAGAGUAUACGCGGCCCGAUUUUGCUCAUUUCAGCGGACCGAUUUUGCGAUUGUUGGAGGUUAUUCGACGGGUUAACUGCUAUCCGUUAUGUGACGCCAAAGUCGACAUGCUGGUUGAAGAUGCCAUACAGCAGCAACAGGGCCACGCAGUUUCGAGCGACCAGCAACCGGGUCAGGUUGCGGAUGCAACUAGAACUUCUGUGCAGUGUCAGCCGGAAUCAUCCGAAAUUCAGCGGAACUUGCGCGAAAUAUGCCAGCUGCUGUGGAGUUCCACGAUCAAACAGGAGGUUUUCCGCCGCUGGUCCAAGACUUUGGCCUCAGUGAGUCGGAACCGUUUUCCCUGGUGCAGCGCAGCGAGAAGGAGGAUUGUAUGCGUCAUUGCCCCGGUUCAAACUUAUCUGCUAAAGAUGCUGCUCAUGGCCCCGGUCAGACAGUGAAGUUUUUUUUUCUAUUUGCUGCCUAUACUUUUCCAACCAAAAAAAUUUAAAAAAAAUAAAUUUUCGCUAAAUAAACAGUUUUUUCACUUA